rfam:Pseudomonas fulva 12-X, complete genome.
UUCGAUAGAAAUCUACCCAGGCCGUCGUUGCAACGACGAUGGCACAUGGAGGCUCGCGACGCCGGCAGCGGACUCCAACGGCAGACCUUCUGCCUGACCUUCUUAAGGUCAACGGGACAUAAAACAGUCAAC